CUAACACAACCCACAAGUUACCCAAAACCCUCAAAUAUCAGCUUCGAUCUCUUCCUCUAUUUUCCUAGCGCCUUAUUGAGAAAGAGAGAAUAGGGAAGAAAAGGGUUCGAUUGAAGUUUAGUUAAACUUUUCCUGCUCUGAAGUAUAUGGGGUACGUACUCUCUGUACCUGGCUCACAGCCGGUCUCGAUCAGGUUGGGCAGAGCACUGAGGCAGUUCAGGGCUCUGUUUUGGAUAUAAACCGAUUCAGGAAGGGGGUUUAGCUUAUAGCUUAAUUUUUGCACAUUUGACACAUCCGAUGAUGCCUUAAAGGCUUAAACCAAUGCAUCGAAGUCUCUCUAGGGGCUAUGAGUUAUGAACUGAGGAACUUUUUGGAACUUAACCUUCCAAAAGUUAAGGACGGUGAGUAGCUGAACCAAAGAUCAGGUCUCACAUUUUUGAAGUCACCAAAAUUCCUUGCCAAAGUAAUCAGUCUGUUCAUGAGCUGCUUUGUGGAAUUCGGCCACAUUUUGACAGGCUUAGCGACAUAGAGACAGCUCAUCGAGGUCUGGGAAAUAGUUUCAGCAGAGUCGCGGUCAAGUAUAAUAGUACUGACAAUAUGGUGAUUCCAGCAAUCGCCACUCACGAUAACCUUGAUAAGGAUGUCAAUAGCUUAUCCAUGAGAUUCAGAGAACGGUACUAAUGGCAUUUUCCUGAACUGGGGAAGAUUGUCAAUGACAAUUAUCUCUAUAUGAGAGUUGCAAAAUACAUAGGAGACUAGCCAACUUUAUCUGAAACCAAACUUGCAGAAAUAACAGAAAUGAUUGGAGAUGAUGGCAAGGCAUGCAGAGAGAUGCAUAUGUAUUACUUUCAUAUUUGUGCUUUGAAUAAUUUCUUAUGUUAUCUAUUGACUGUGCAUUUUUUUUUUUUUUUAGU